rnacentral:rRNA from 1 species
CGGGCCUAACACAUGCAAGUCGAACGAGAAAACCUUCGGGUGAGUACAGUGGCGCACGGGUGAGGAACGCGUAGGUAAUCUACCCUCUGGCGGGGGACAACACUCCGAAAGGAAUGCUAAUACCGCAUAAGACCACACUUACCUCGGUGAGAGUGGUAAAAGGCGCCUCAAAGCGCCACCAGAGGAUGAGCCUGCGUCCCAUCAGCUUGUUGGUAAGGUAACGGCUUACCAAGGCUAAGACGGGUAGCUGGUCUGAGAGGAUGAUCAGCCACACUGGCACUGGAACACGGGCCAGACUCCUACGGGAGGCAGCAGUGAGGAAUAUUGGGCAAUGGGCGAAAGCCUGACCCAGCCACGCCGCGUGUGUGAUGAAGGCCUUCGGGUCGUAAAGCACUGUGGGGAGAGACGAAAAUGCGCAGGAGGAAAUGCUUGCGUACUGACGGUACCUCCUUAGCAAGCACCGGCUAACUCUGUGCCAGCAGCCGCGGUAAUACAGAGGGUGCAAACGUUGCUCGGAUUUACUGGGCGUAAAGCGCGUGUAGGCGGACUCGCAAGUCGGUUGUGAAAUCCCUGGGCUCAACCUAGGAACUGCAUCCGAAACUGCGGGUCUUGAGUAAUGGAGAGGGUGGCGGAAUUCCCGGUGUAGAGGUGAAAUUCGUAGAUAUCGGGAGGAACAUCAGUGGCGAAGGCGGCCACCUGGACAUUCACUGACGCUGAGACGCGAAAGCGUGGGGAGCAAACAGGAUUAGAUACCCUGGUAGUCCACGCCGUAAACGAUGAGAACUAGGUGCAGCGGAUAUUGACCUCUGCUGUGCCGUAGCUAACGCGUUAAGUUCUCCGCCUGGGGAGUACGGCCGCAAGGCUAAAACUCAAAGGAAUUGACGGGGGCCCGCACAAGCAGUGGAGCAUGUGGUUUAAUUCGAAGCAACGCGCAGAACCUUACCAGGGCUAGAAAAACUGA